AAUAGAUACCCGGGUAGUCCACGCCGUAAACGAUGAAUACUAGGUGUCGGGGGUAUUACCACCCUCGGUGCCGCAGCAAACGCAAUAAGUAUUCCGCCUGGGGAGUACGGUCGCAAGAUUAAAACUCAAAGGAAUUGACGGGGACCCGCACAAGCAGCGGAGCAUGUGGUUUAAUUCGAAGCAACGCGAAGAACCUUACCUAGACUUGACAUCUCCUGAAUUACUCGUAAUGGAGGAAGCCCUUCGGGGCAGGAAGACAGGUGGUGCAUGGUUGUCGUCAGCUCGUGUCGUGAGAUGUUGGGUUAAGUCCCGCAACGAGCGCAACCCUUAUCGUUAGUUGCUACCAUUAAGUUGAGCACUCUAACGAGACUGCCGCGGUUAACGUGGAGGAAGGUGGGGAUGACGUCAAAUCAUCAUGCCCCUUAUGUCUAGGGCUACACACGUGCUACAAUGGCCGGUACAACGAGAUGCAAACCCGUGAGGGGGAGCCAAACUUCAAAGCCGGUCCCAGUUCGGAUUGUAGGCUGAAACUCGCCUACAUGAAGUCGG
rnacentral:rRNA from 1 species